rnacentral:lncRNA from 1 species
AGGGCUGUGCAGAAUGUGCUUUGUUAAACAAGUGCUUGAAGGCAGUAUGCUUGGUAAAAGUCAUCGCCAUUCUCUAAUCUUGAGUACCCAGGGACACGAUACACUGCGGAAGGCUGCAGGGACCUCUGCCCAGGAAAGCCAGGUGGUUUCCAAAAGGAAAAGCUUUGGGAGAUAGAAGUCCUCGUUUUGACCUCUGCCCUCCUUGUACACCAGGAGCCAGAAAAACUUCAUCUCUUUUACAAGAAACAUUGAGAUUCCUGUAAAAUUAAGAAAUCACACAAUUUGAUGGUCUACAUUAUCUAAAGCAAAUGAGACUUCUAUUUGGAACAAAGACUACCUUGUUGGGAAAUGAGUCUGCAAGUUAAAGUGUUUUCUGGGAUCACUCUAAGCUCCAGUGUCAAGGAGUCAAGUCCUUCAGGAAUUCUCUGCCUCCACUCCCUGUGGCAGAGCUAGAGUGGCUGCCAUGCUUCUGAGCUCAGCCAGCAUCCAGAGAGAGAGUGAGAUACAGCCUCCUCUUCUUGAAGCACCCACUUCUAAACUCUGUGACAGUUUUCUUGGAACUCUGUUAUGUGGAUCUGGAGAUGACAAUGUCACAGCACUCCCCUCUAAGCCUAAAUUCCCCCACACCGAUGAACUAUUAGGAUCCAGUAUCUGCCGGAGGAGCCCCACCUUCUGCUACUAUUAUGUUCUUCAGAUGAGUAGAAGAGAGUGGGGAGGGAGAGAGCAGGAAGAAGAAAGGAAGAAUAAUGUCUUGAAAUUGUUUUCUAAGGAUAAUGGUCUCCAGCUUCGUCAAUGUUCCUGCAAAGGACAUGAUGCUGACUUUGAAGAUGCAAGCUUCCACAUCUACAGCCUCAAGGAAACAAAUUCAGCCAACCAACUGAGGGAGCUUUCCUUGUCCUGCCUCAAGAUGAGAUCACAGUCUGCCCAACACCAUGAUUUAGGCCUUGUGACACCUGGUAUGGAAGACCCAGUUAAGUUCUCUCCAAACUCUUGACCCACAGAACCUGUGAGAAAAUAUAUGGAUAUUAUUUUAAACUGCUAAAUUUGUAGUAAUUUGUUAUGCAGCAAUAAAAAAA